UGAGAGUUGGAGAGUUUGGAGAUUAUUUGGAGUUGGCGAAGAUGGCUUUAUGAUUUCUUUACUAAUGGUUUCAACCUUCAUCGUCAUCGUCUCCAUGGA
rnacentral:sRNA from 1 species